CAGCCGCCACGGUAAUACGGAGGGGGCUAGCGUUGUUCGGAAUUACUGGGCGUAAAGCGCACGUAGGCGGCUUUGUAAGUUAGAGGUGAAAGCCUGGGGCUCAACUCCAGAAUUGCCUUUAAGACUGCAUCGCUUGAACGUCGGAGAGGUGAGUGGAAUUCCGAGUGUAGAGGUGAAAUUCGUAGAUAUUCGGAAGAACGCCAGUGGCGAAGGCGGCUCACUGGACGACUGUUGACGCUGAGGUGCGAAAGCGUGGGGAGCAAACAGGAUUAGAUACCCCCGUAGUCCCUGUCUCUUAUAC
rnacentral:rRNA from 1 species